rnacentral:snRNA from 1 species
AGCUUUACCCAGUGGCAGUAUCGUAGCCAAUGAGGUUUAACAGAGGGGAGAUCAGUGCUAAUUGUAACCAAUUUGUUGAGUAAUUGGCAUUCAUUGUUUAAUUAAUCGAUAUGCUCAGAAGAUCUAACCUUUGUCCUCAGGCAUUUCAUCUUUUGCUGGUUAUAAUCAUUUUCUUAAAAGAGCUUAUGUUC